CUGCAUGCUAGUCCCUAAUGAAUGAGACAUACACAGAGAGUCAUUAGUCUUAUCUUCAUGAACAAACUUAAGAAACACUGAGGGCACAUUGCAAACAAUGGUAGUCUCAGACAGCCAUGUCUUGUCAUCACUUUCUGGCUUUAUUUAAAUGACUGCUCAAAGAACACUGGCAGUUAUUCUUCAUGAACAAUUCAAUUGAGGCAUGCAAACUUUUGAACUCAGGUUCUGCCUCUGAACUUUUCUAGACAGUCACUUCAAUCUGUGCCCUUACUCUGUUGAUCCUCAGUUACAUAUUUUGUUAUGAGUAUGAUGAGCAAAGGUAUCAUGGGGGAUAUUUAAUGAGAUCAAAAUACAAUUACAUGACAUACAAGAGAGCCCCAACAUGGUCUCUGUUAGUGAGAAGAAUUUAGUGCCUUUUUCUAGUUUCCCUGAAUCCUAUACCAGCUUCAGAUCAUUUAGCCUAGUAAUUCAUUAACUCAUUUCCUUUGGGUUGGCAUGUAGUCAAGGCAGCAUUCAGGUUUUCCUAGAUCAGCCUGUCUCAGGCACACAUCCUCGGGACUAUCACCGAACGUCUUAAAGGAGAGAAUUUCUGCCCCACAAACUUCUUGAGAAAUGUGUCUUUCACAAAUACACUGGGCCCAGAUUUAAAUUCCCUGAAGACAAAAGAUACAAUGUGGGUGUUAACCUGUGGUUAGCUAGGCCCCAGCAUUGCUAGAAAUGGAAAAUUACCCACAAAGAGGUGAAGGAGGGGGAGUGACUUUCAAAGAGGUCUAGCUAAUAUGACAAAUGGUCCAUCACACACUCUCCUCUCCUGGUUGUUUUGAUACAUCCCCACCUGGUCCCCAGGUGUGUAAGAACCACAGACUCCCAUUCAUGCCGCUGCUGUGGACCAGGCUCAUUCUGGGCUGCACACCCUGGAACAAUGGCUUUAUUCUUUCAGGAGUCCAAAGAGAGCUAAAGUGUGUAGAGAGCUGCUGCGGCUCCCGGUCCAUCUGAAAAAUCAGAAAAUAAUAAGAAAUUCCACACAGAGAAGAUGAAAGCCCAGCCACUCCCAGUUGUUCCUGCAACCUAUACCAGAAGUGUGCAGUUAACAUGAAGUUUCCUUUUCUGGAAGAUGAAACAGUCCCAUAUUGCCUCAUGAGCACGUUUCAGGUGCAUAAGUGAGAUGCCAAAGAGAAGACUCGAACUUCCCAGUCAACAGAGAGGAAGGUGAUGGGGGUUCCGCUGGGACAUGAGAACAAGGACUCUGCUCAAGCUGUGGUGCAAGGCAGACUCCAAAGAAGAAAAUACCAGGAAC
rnacentral:lncRNA from 1 species